rnacentral:rRNA from 1 species
AGCAGCCGCGGUAAUUCCAGCUCCAAUAGCGUAUAUUAAAGUUGUUGCAGUUAAAAAGCUCGUAGUUGAAUUUCGGGAUCAAUAUGUUGGUCGUGCCUUGGUACGUACUGGCGUCAUUGGUUUCUACCUUCUGAAGAACCUCGAUGUCAUUAAUUUGGUGUCUUGGGGAAUCAGGACUGUUACUUUGAAAAAUUAGAGUGUUUAAAGCAAGCUCACGCUUGAAUACAUUAGCAUGGAAUAAUGAAAUAGGACGUUUGAUUCUAUUUUGUUGGUUUCUAGGAUCGACGUAAUGAUUAAUAGGGAUAGUUGGGGGCAUUAGUAUUCAAUUGUCAGAGGUGAAAUUCUUGGAUUUAUUGAAGACUAACUACUGCGAAAGCAUUUGCCAAGGAUGUUUUCAUUAAUCAAGAACGAAAGUUAGGGGAUCGAAGACGAUCAGAUACCGUCGUAGUCUUAACCAUAAACUAAUGCCGACUAGGGAUCGGAUGAUGUUAAUUUUAAUGUACUCAUUCGG